UGGGAGGCUGAUACUCAAUGAGAGAAAAGCCAUGCUCUCCUUGUCACAAGCUCUCCCUAUAACAAGGAUGCCUUUCGAUGACCGGAACGAACUGAGGGAAAUCGUAACGGACAGAUACGGGGCACACAAUU
ensembl:scaRNA